UCUGUGGAUGAACACUACACCAUUUGCUCCAUUUUCUGAGAAUUUCUCAGUGGAUGCUUUAAAAACCAAGGAUGAAUUCAGCAUCUCUAUUUUAUGUGGAAGCUGUUCUCAGCAUCAUUUGUUUUCUUACUUGGGUGGAAAAGAUAGCUGGGUAGGUGUUUUCCUCCCAGGGCCUUCUGAAGAGUUUAAAAACAGAGACUUUGGGUGUUGAAUGAAAGGUCCCUAUUCUUUCCUAAAAUACUCACAGAAUCCCAUGACUAAUAUAUAAAUAAAGAUUGUUGUAUUAGUCACCCAACAAUGAAAGAAGAAAUCCUCCCACUUCUCAAAUGCUUCCUUUCAGAGUAACCUCAAUGACCUGACUGAUUCAUGGAACUAAUUUGUAACAAUAAUAAAGAUGAAGCGGGACCCCAGACAAGCUUUCAGAACUCCUCCAAAGACCCUCACUGCCUCAUCCCGCUCUCCCGUUCCUCGGCCUGCAGCUGAUGCCUUUGAGGAAGCCCCUGUUUGUACUGACAGUGGCCCAGAAACCUCUUCCCCUUGCUCAGACAAUUGCCCAUGUGGCCGCUGCCAACUUGGGGCUUCCUGGACUUCACAAACUCAGGAGGUCUGAGCUCAGUGACACCCUGCAUCGCCCCUGCUCCCUGGGCUCCUGCCCUGAACCACAGCUCCCUGCUUGAUGAAGAAGGGUCAGCCACCUCAAGGUUCACUUCCGGGCAGAGGCCACAUCUGUUAGGAAAGAAAAUAGAUGAAAAGCAUAGUUAGCAAGUGCCUGCUGUUGGCCAGGCACCGAGCUAGGAGGUGUCUUAUUCCUGUGUCAUCUUAUUUCAUCAUGUAAAUGGCCCUGUGAGGCAGAGAUGGUUGUUUGAAUUAUACAGAAGGAGAAACACAGAGUCAGAAAGAUGAAGAAACUUGCUGAAGAUUGUAUUGUGUUCCAGUGGUCUCCAAACUGGGGUAGGUCCACUCUAGUGAAGGUCCCUGGUUAAUUCCUGCUGAUUAAGCACUAACCACAUGAGACUCAUCCAGCUGGCCAGUUUCCAGAUGAAACUGUGGUGGGUAAAUUCUUUGGAAAAGAAAAUGGAGUCCAUUUCCACAUGACCACACCUCCCCUGCAGCUAGGUAAGAUCAUGUAAUGGAAUUCUGGCCAAUGGAAUAUGAGUGGAGUUAAUGUGGGUAACCUCCAUGAUGGGCAAAGAAACACCUCCCAGGAAAAAGUCUUGAUUUUUCCUCAUGUCUGCUGACUACAUAUCGACUCUUGAAUAGACUUGAGUAUCUGCUGUUGAAGGAUGCAGAGGCUCUGUCAGCCUGGGCCCCUGAGUGACUUCAUGGAGUAUACCAUCUCUCCAACUGGAUUUUAUCUUUCAGUGGUUCAGUUUUUCUCCACUGUUUCCACCAAAAUACCAUCAACAGUAAGGAAGAACAAUGUGGACCACCAGAAGGCUGGAGUGUUUUCUGAAGCUGCUCCUGCUUGGACUUUGGUUGGAAGUCGUGAUUGUCUGAGGGUUCAUGCUGGCGCUCCCCCAGUGAACCUAGCUCACCUACCCUCUGCUCUGGCUCUAGUCUCUCUUCCCUUCUUCUAAGGGAGGCUACUGCUGUGCUCAGUGCGGAGCUGGGUUCAAGGAGAGCUGGGGCUCUGAAGGAGUCGUGGGGAGAAGGCUGACAUGAGUCCUGAGUGAGUGGACCUGCUCUCUCUGGCCCUGAAGGGGUCAAGAGGCAACUGGGUGUGUGGGCUGAGUCUUUCCUGGCCCUGAAGCUGGAAGUAGAGGCUUUGUGCAGGAUCCUCAGCAGGGGACUAAAAGCCUGUGCUUUCAUAACCCGAGCCACACUGGCAAGUGCGCUGCCUCCUCCCACCUUUGAGACAGUUGCCUUCAGGAGCACAUCUACCAGAAGCCAACAAAGAAAAGCAACAGCCUCUUGGAGGGGCCUUUCUCCAGGGAGAGAAGGGUGAGGCAGCACAGGCAGAGCUGGUGUAGGAGACACAAGACAGUAUGAAUUUCAAAAUCAGAGCAUUGAAGGAGAUUCAAAUAUGGCACAAAAAGAGUUUCUGGAGCUAAAAAUCAUAAUUUCCUAACUAAAUACCAUUCAGUAGAUUAACUGAAAAAGUGGAAGAUCACCGUGAAGAUAUGGUCAGCUCUCCUGGAGGGUCAAAGGGCAGACAGACCCCUUGAUGAAAAGGGUGGUAUAGAGCAAAUGUAGAAAGAGAUGGGAAGCAAGUAGAAAUGGGUAAGGAACAUGGGAUGGAUCCUAAAACCUUGACUUGUGAAUAGAGAAACCUUGACUUGCAGAAAGAGGAAAAAAUAGAACCAACGGAGGAGAGGUGACCAUGAUACUAACAAUAAAAGAAAACUUCCCUGAACUGAA
rnacentral:lncRNA from 1 species